rnacentral:pre_miRNA from 1 species
GAAACACCUUUAUGGGGCAGGACUUGCUUCCGUGGGGCUUUGGUGCUCACUGAGUCUGCCCCCCUGAACGUGUCCCU